AUCAUUGGACGAAUCGUACGGCAGAGGCAAUCUCGACCAAUAACAUCGCUUGACUUUGGGAGGGGGAUAUACGUCAUAACGUAAGAUCGCGCCAUACUGGCAGUGGCCAGAGUAGACGUUUCAGGAUAUUCAGCUUUCACUAAAGCGAAUUUUAGUUGAUGUGUCAAUGAAGAACAAAAGCUGGAAUGUGAAUAGAAGAAGGGGUCGUACGGGGUCUGUAAAAAUACUCAAGUGGUGCUCGUUGCAUAUCAGAUCAAGCAUUGGAAUAAGAUUUUUAUCGGGGGAGAACAACCAACAGAAAGACCCAUUCACCAACUACAUGGCGCACUGAAAGGGGAGAUUCAUGUCACCUUCACCAGUCCUUUCUUUAAUUGCUGGAAACCGUUAAGGGAAAGACCCUCAGACAUAAUAGGAUAAAUGUGGCUGCAGGUAAAAUUAUUUGAUGGUGUUAGGGUUUAUCAUUAUCUAACAAACCAAAUGCUUUGUUCAAUAACAAGAAAUCACGUUAGGGCCAUUUUCUGGAAGAGAAAUCCACUUGGACAGUUUGACAAGGAUCAAGAGGCCAAGGACCAGGUGGUGAAGUCGGAACCAGACCAGACAGCUCUCCCACAGCCAGCCUCUGAACCUGCUCUACAGUUUAAAUCGCCCGGGUGAAGUUAAACUCUACUUUGCUGGUGACCCAGAUGGCUGAGAACAUGAUAGGCUGAUACCCUGGAAGCUAAGAGGGAAGCGGCAAAGGAGUUCGAAGAAGAGCUGAAAAGCACGUCUUAAUGAACACAAGGACAAGGCCUGGUGAAAGCCACUACAGAGGAUCAUAGCCAUCGUUGGAGUUCUGAAAGGACGUGGGUGAAUAUCAAUCUGCCAAAUGAACUUUUUUUAGCAUGCACAUUCACAUCUUUAUAUUAAUACUGAUUAUAUAUUAACUUGUUUGUUUGUUACUGGAAAGAACUUAGCUUCUAUUGUGUUUGACUGAAGGAGUUGACCAUGUUUUAAGCCUAUGUGCAUUUUCUAGAUGUUAAGCAUGAACGGUACUUAAACAACCAUUACCCGUACCAGCUCUGUCCGUGCUCCAUUUUCCAUUGCAGAUCAUACUCAGAGAUAGUACCCCUUAAAUGCAGCUGGUCGUCAUAGCAAGGCCACACACAACUGCCGCGACGUAAUGUUCAAUGCGAGACACACACCAGCGCCCCAAUUUAAUUUAAAACGUUUCAGCAUUACUCGGAUUGUACUUAAUUUAACUAAAACAAAUAUCAAAAACAUGUCUAAUUAAUACUUAAUCAACACGUCAUACUCCUGGAAAAGACCCACAUAAAUCACAUAUUUUAAAGGAAUAGUCUACUCAUUUUCAAUAUUAUUUCAUAUUUUCAUAUUUCAACAUAUAUCAAUAAUAUGUUAUUACCUUAACUAAGAUUUGUUGAUACAUCCCUCUAUCAUCUGUGUGCGUGCACGUAAGCGCUGGAGCGCGCUGCGACGCUUCGAUAGCAUUAAGCUUAGCCCCAUUCAUUCAAUAAAACGUAGCGCUUUUCUAAGCGGAAUUAAAAGAGGAACUACAUUUUAUGGCGUAAUAGCACUUUUGGGAGUACCUGGACUCGGCGCAGUAACACCCUCCCUCUCCCAUUAUGAGAGGGAGAAGGGGAGCGGACUUUUCAGGGGAGUCGAAGUACUCCCAAAAGUGCUAUUACGCAAUACAAUAUAGUUCCUCUUUUAAAUCCGCUUAGAAAAGUGCUACGUUUUAUUUUGUACCACCAAACUUGCUCGUAUAACUACUCGUCUUAAAUAGGAAAAACGUUGAUGUGUUUGGUCACUUCUAACUUUAUCUCUGAUUGGUACCAUUACAUGAAUGGGGCUAAGCUAAAUGCUAUCGAAGCGUCGCAGCGCGCUCCAGCGCUUACGUGCACGCACACAGAUGAUAGAGGGAUGUAUCAACAAUUCUUAGUUAAGGUAAUAACAUAUUUUAAUAUUGAAAAUGAGUAGACUAUUCCUUUAACUAAGCAAAAAGCCAACGUUGAGCCAAGCAAAAGUACUUCUUAAAUGACGCAUCAAUGAAUUGUUAAAAUAAUCUAUAGAAGCAUUGAUUACUAAAAUCAUCGUUAGCUGCAGCCCUAGUUUUCACUGACACUCGUUUGUGAGAAAACAAUCAAGCUAGCUGCUAAAUUUGGAGUCCACACGUAUUAGAGUCUUUAAGGUAAAUGCAGUUAAAAGGACCUAAGCGAGCUGACAGGCAGGUUAGAGACUUUCUGUAAUUGUUUUUCACUUUACAAAGUGUUACAGUAUGAUAGUCUUACCUGAAGAGAGGCUAUAAGCACAACAUGCAAUUUAUUUAAAUUGCAUCAAACUCAUAGACUGUAUGGUCGGACUUGGUGAAUGUAACCCGAGGAUACACGUGACACAAUCUGUUUUUCAAAAUAAGGUGGAAAUAAGAUUAAUUAUAUUUACAGGAAUUAUAAAACAUGUUACAAUGUGUCAAUUAAAAGUAAAAUGAAAUGUUUGGGAAAUGACUUACAAAUUUCUUUUUGAUUUAGGGUUGCUGGAAAAACAUUAAAUAAAUUUGUUGACUUUUUUGCUUUUUCAUAACAAUUUAUAUCUAUGCAGUGUCUUUGAUCAAAUUGUUUAUCCACCUGAUUUCUGACUUAAAUGCGGGCACCGCCAUCUUUGAGCUCAUAAAACUUCCAGUGAGCCACUAAAGCUAAUGGUAGUCGUAUUGCGAGGGACACGAUUGUGACUGGCUUUUUAAUGCUUAUUAUGAAAUCCAGGAAGACCGGCGUAAUUUGUGCAGUUAGGGGUUGCCAUAAUAGCUAAUACAAAUGCAGUAAAUCUCUUAAAAACACUGAAUGUGUAUUGGCGCACGUGUAUCUAAUAUCCAUACAUUCAUCCAGUAAAACCUUUCGUAGAAACUGACAAUGAACAAUAAAUACAAUAAUUAUUCAAAAACAACUAAUUAUGCUGAAAAAAAUAUUCUGGUUUAUUUAUUCUGCUACUAUAUAUUAUUACAAAAAUGCGUUUACAGUACAUAUUAUAUAUGACAUAAACUGCUUAUUUGUUAAUGUUUAUAAUAGUCCAUGAUAUGUUUGCACUUACUUUUGUUUUAAAUUAUUAUUUUAAAUAAGCAAAUAUUUUCAUAAUCUCAUGUCUUAUCUACUGCAUAAUAAUAUUUCCAUAAAACGAAAACAAUACUGAAUACAUGUAAAAGUAGUUUAGUAUGUUUAUUAUGUUUAGAUUAAAUAGCUUACAAUGUGUUGAAUGAGAAGGAUAAGUUACUGCUGCUGUCAGAUCGCGUGAAGCUUGAUGUGUCGCCAUAAAAACUCAAGUCGAUUAAAAUUCCAGUUUAAAAAAACUUGCAUGCAUUGAAGACCCGUCACCCCUAGGAACAACAUGAAACGAUUGAAUAUAUCUUCAUAUGAUGUAUCAGGACACUUCUUCAUUUCAUCCUCACACUGGCUCAUACAUGGCUGGUGUAGUAAAUAUUUACCAUAACUGUUUUAAUCAUGUUUUAUGCGUGCUCCCACCACACUGUUUUCUGCUGGCUGGCCAUUAAAACUGAGCUCCCACACAAAGAAGGGAAAUACGUCACAUCUCUUACUCCCGCGUUUGAAAAUAAUGUGGAUAACAACAUUAUUGUGUUUGAGGUGUAACAAGCUGUGUUCCCACAUGUUUAAAUGCUCUCUAAGCGAAUCUGCGAGACGUUAGUUAUUGUUGAAGUUUGAAACUGUUUUCAAACAGACGGAGCGUAGCUAACUCCUCCCCCUCCCUUCCGUGCUUUCAUGAACGCGCCCAACCCCUACCCCCAAAACCUUUUUGUCGUUUAUUGGCUGGAAUACUUUGUUUUGUUUUGUGAUGAUAGGUUUGGCCACUUGUUGAUAUUGCCGUUUGUGAAGCCUAGGCUGUCUACAGAGAUCGCGUUUUUUUACAGUUUGAUCAGCGGACAGGCAGCAAGCAGAUAGUGAGGAGAUGUAACAAAAAAUGUUUUAUGGUCUAAAACGCUUCAAUUCGCUUAGAGCGCCUUUAUUUUGCCGCUUAUGAACGUAAUCAUCAUGGAAAACGUUGGUUUACUGAUACUACACGCCAGAAGUCGCACCCAUAAUUUGCACAAAUCGUCAUGGGGUGUAGGAAUAGUGUGCAUAGGGCCCAAAAUUAUUAACAAGAGGGUAACAUUCUUCAUAGAGCCAUAGCUUAUUUAUUUUGCUUUUAAAGUGCACCAAAUGAAUGCACUUAACAUUAAAAUGAACACUUUUCUUUUGAGUGGAAAUGUACAUCUCAAAUGGGGAUCUGCAGUGAAUGGAUAGGACAUUGCUGUAAAAUAUCAGAAAAUGUAUGUAUGUUUUUAGUGAAAAAGUUGUUGAUGCAAAUGCACUUAACAUAGACCUUCUGUUUGUUUUUUGUACAUUUAAAACACAAUAUACUAAUACAGAAUGUGUGGACAUAAACUGGAAAGUUGGUUGCAAUUACUGUCAAAUAAUGUUUAUAUUAAGUAAAUCCCAUGUACUAUUAAGAAAAGUCUGUAGAUAUAUUGGAGUUGCUUGUUAUUACUGUCAAAUUAUAUUCAUAUAAGGUUAGUCCCAUGCACUUAUAAGAAAGGUCUGUAUAUAUCGGAGUUGCUUAUAACAGUGGUUCUCAAACUGGGGUCCGGGCCGCGAGAUGGUGCCAGGGGGGCCCCAGUUUUAUGACAUUUUAUAAAAUACAUUAAAUUCUAAUGAAUUCUGGGAAAUUAAACCAAAAAAAAGGUAGCACUACUUUGUGUAUGUUUUGUUUAAUUAAAAUGUGAAGUUUUAGAACAGUUUUUUGUCAUAAAUUUUCUUUGGGGGGGCGCGAAGGAAUGCACCCACAAAGGGGGGCCGCACGCUGAAAAAGUUUGAGAACCACUGGCUUAUAAAGUAAGAUGUAAUGGAAAAAGUAUGUGUGUGUGUAUAUAUAUGUGUGUGUAUAUAUAUAUAUAGGGCAGUUGCUUGUAAUUGCUAUCAAAUAUUGUUUACAUAAAAUAAACAUGUGUAUUUUUACAUA